UAGUAAUCACAGGUCAGCAUACUGUGGUGAAUACGUUCCCGGGCCUUGUACACACCGCCGUCACACCAUGAGAGUUGAGAAUACCCGAAGCCCCAUGUCAAAGUGGUCGAAGGUAGGCUUGAUGAUUGGGGUGAAGUCGUAACAAGGUAAC
rnacentral:rRNA from 1 species